UGCAGCCGCUCCAUCCUACCUGCUGGUGCGGGGCUGCCCACGAGGCCGUGCGGUGCGGUGCGGUGCCAGGCUGCCACGGCCCCACGCCGCGCACGUGACGCCAGAGGAAAUCGUCUCCGCGCGGGGAAGGAAGUCGAAGCAGAGAGCACCUCAGUGCCAGUCCACAGUGUAUCCCUGCACCCCACGGGGCUCCUCCUGCCCCCUGGUAGGGUCAGCCCCCCAGCUGCCCCAACCCACCUUUCACCCGGCCAUGGGACCACCCAGCCAUCCUGGCAGGACACGAGUGAAAUGCUGGCGGCGUGGCGUGGGCUGUCGCUGCUGGAUGGGGGCUUUAGCAGAAGCAGCCAAAUCCAGCCACCGCUGCAGGGCGCGGGGGUGACUCACGGCCCUGUGACCGCGACCACUUUGCUCAGACAGCCGGGGCGGUGCCUCGCUGCGAGGCGAGCCCCCCGAGCCCCCACAGGACCAGCAGCAGCCCCAGGCCGCCCUGCCCCACCGGCAGCACCCAGAAGGCAGCCCAUGGUGUGGCACGGCCAUGUCCAGCACUAGGGCUGAGCUUCUGGCACCACUCACGUGGCGACAACCUGAGCCGCACGUGCAGGCAGCAGCCGAAUGGGCCGGCAUGGGCUGCCAACCCAGGGAGUGAAGCAGGAAGGCAGGAGUCACACCCGGCCCCGGACGGCAGCUCAAAGCCGCCCGCCUCUCCCUGCGCGUCUGUGGCCUUCGGUGUGGAGGGGGAAGUGAAACCUGAACCACAGAGGGGCCGAAACCACAAACCACGAGCGCACAGGGCUGGUGCGGCCACACCGCCGGAGUCCUGCCGCAGAGCGCGGAAGCCGGAAGGGCCACCAGCAGCCCCAGGGCUCCCCAGGUGACACCAUGAACAUUCCAUUCCACACGGCAAUGCUGAACCUCGGGGGAUCAGCACCGGCAGAGGGGGCUGGCCAGGCCACACAGCUGGGAAUGCCAGGCACCCUUUGGCUCAAGGGCUCAAAUUCAAGUGUGAGGGGAAACACGAACCUUUACCCCACAUCACUGUCCCAACUGCUGUUAGCAACACCAUUAACCAACGCCAGGCAGGACUGCUCUCUGCAGCCCCAGCACCCCCCGCAGAUGUCAGAGCAGGGAGCAAUCUGCCUUCCCGGUGGCAGCUGGGGAAAAGCCUUUCCCGCCUGGCACCAGCCAACGCGACGACCACCUUACUCUGCCGCACUUGACCAGCACUGGGGUUUAGGGCCUGCCUAGAACCGGGCUGCCUGGAGCCGUGUCUUCAGCCAGAAGGUGGGUUUGGAGCACGGAUGGAGUGUUGUUCCUGUUCCCAGGGGACACAAUCCCUGCUGGCAGCAGAGCUGCAGAAUGCGGCCCAUGCCCCCCGCCCCUCCCAUGCAAGUAUUACUACCGCAAAAGGGCUAAAAGGUCUAUUAACUGCUUAAAAAACAGCAGUUGCUUUAGCAACUAAAUUAGAGAGCACAUCAGGCUAUGGGUAAAACAAACACCCCCAUGCUGCCUGGCUCUUGCACCCGCAAACUCCACCCUGACCAGCUCCUGGAGGAAGAACAUCCUUGCUUGGCCAGUGCAGUCUUCUCGCUUCCAGGUGCAGCACUCCCCACCUGGAGAGCCGUAUAAAACAGGAACAGGACAGCAACUGCUUGCAACUGCUGCUUCUGAACGGCAGGGGCAGCCCCAACCAGGUGGAGCUUCCUCUUUCCUGUUCUGCUGUCCCACCCCGUUUCUCUUCCAGGACCACCGUGUUUUAAAACCUCCUUGCCCAGGAGCUCUCCUGCACUGGGGCUGGUCACCGGCUUUUGGCUCUUGUGGCCUCCCCAAUUAGUUCAGAAGGCAAGUCUGAAGCCCCAGACUCAGAACACAAAACAAAGCAGAGUUACACCUACUACUUCUUUUAUUGUAUUUUAUUUGCAUAAACAAACUUCAGGGCUUUGCUAAACAGGAACUGUUCAAGUCAAAACAAACCAAACUCUAGUUGGUGUGUGUGUGUGGGGAAACAGCACAGCAAUCCUGGGAAGGGAGGGCAGAGAUGGAGAGGAGGGCGAGCGGUGGCUGUACAGCACGUGCACACUCAGCGCCGGUGCGCGGACAUGCCUCUCCUAAGAAGGCUCAUUGACUCAGCCAGAGAACUAUUUGCAAACUUCUUCAGAAUAUUUUUUAAGUAGAAGAUAAAAAGAAAUACAUCAUAACGGCCGUCCUUAACCAGCACAGGAGGGAUUUGCCUUUUGUUUUUAUAAAAAGAUUAAUAAAAAAUAUUGAAAAAUUCUCAUCUCCUUUUAUAUUUUUAACCUAGUAGAAUUCUGAAGUUUCUUAGAAAACUAUGUUACCUUGGAAAGAGCACUCGAGUUCACAACCAGCUGCAAAGAGGAUACACAAAAUGCCUACAAGCAGUUUGGGGCUCCAGCACACACCAGGCCUAACAGUAUACACAAACAGUGGUGAAAAGUAGGGUGUCUUUUUUUUUUUUUUUUUUGAAACCAUGCUAAUUUUGUUAACUUUCAACAUAAAAGGAAAACAAUUGUUUUUAAAAGGCCCUAAA